rnacentral:rRNA from 1 species
GACGAACGCUGGCGGCAUGCCUAAUACAUGCAAGUCGAGCGAACAGAUGAAGUGCUUGCACUUCUGACGUUAGCGGCGAACGGGUGAGUAACACGUAAGGAAUCUACCUAUAAGCGGGGGAUAACAUUCGGAAACGGGUGCUAAUACCGCAUAAUAUCUUCUUCCGCAUGGAAGAAGAUUGAAAGACGGCUCUGCUGUCACUUAUAGAUGACCUUGCGGUGCAUUAGUUAGUUGGUGGGGUAAUGGCCUACCAAGACGAUGAUGCAUAGCCGACCUGAGAGGGUGAUCGGCCACAUUGGGACUGAGACACGGCCCAAACUCCUACGGGAGGCAGCAGUAGGGAAUCUUCCGCAAUGGGCGAAAGCCUGACGGAGCAAUGCCGCGUGAGUGAAGAAGGCCUUCGGGUCGUAAAACUCUGUUAUAAGAGAAGAACAAAUUGUAGAGUAACUGCUACAGUCUUGACGGUAUCUUAUCAGAAAGCCACGGCUAACUACGUGCCAGCCGCCGCAGUAA